GGUUGUGAUGAGGAUUGCUUCUUCUGACACCUCUUGUAUGAGAAGGGUUCAUUUGAUAGAGGCCCUUCUUUGAGCAGAGUAGCAACACACUGAACU